UACGAAGGGUGCAAACGUUGCUCGGAAUUAUUGGGCGUAAAGAGCGUGUAGGCGGCCUGAAAGGUCAGCUGUGAAAACUCGAGGCUCAACCUCGAGACGUCGGUUGAAACCAUCUGGCUAGAGUCCGGAAGAGGAGUGUGGAAUUCCCGGUGUAGCGGUGAAAUGCGCAGAUAUCGGGAAGAACACCCGUGGCGAAGGCGGCACUCUGGGACGGUACUGACGCUGAGACGCGAAAGCGUGGGGAGCGAACAGG
rnacentral:rRNA from 1 species